GUCGGGAAUAUUGCACAAUGGGCGAAAGCCUGAUGCAGCAACGCCGCGUGCGCGAUGAAGGUCUUCGGAUCGUAAAGCGCUUUUAAGAGAGAUGAGGAAGGACAGUAUCUCUGGAAUAAGGAUCGGCUAACUACGUGCCAGCAGCCGCGGUAAAACGUAGGAUCCGAGCGUUAUCCGAAUUUAUUGGGCGUAAAGCGCGUGCAGGCGGUUUGGUAAGUCGGAUGUGAAAGCUCCUGGCUCAACUGGGAGAGGCCGUUCGAAACUACCAGACUAGAGGACGGUAGAGGGAGGUGGAAUUCCUGGUGUAGUAGUGAAAUGCGUAGAUAUCAGGAGGAACACCUGUGGCGAAAGCGGCCUCCUGGACCGUUCCUGACGCUCAGACGCGAAAGCUAGGGGAGCGAACGGGAUUAGAAACCCCAGUAGUCC
rnacentral:rRNA from 1 species